AUUGAACGCUGGCGGCAGGCCUAACACAUGCAAGUCGAACGAGUGGCGGACGGGUGAGUAACGUCUGGGAAACUGCCCGAUGGAGGGGGAUAACUACUGGAAACGGUCGCUAAUACCGCAUACCCUCAGAUGUGCCCAGACGGGAUUAGCUUGUUGGUGGGGUAACGGCUCACCAAGGCGACGAUCCCUAGCUGGUCUGAGAGGAUGACCAGCCAAACUGGAACGGAGACACGGUCCAGACUCCUACGGAGGGAAGAAGUGGGGAAUGUUGCACAAUGGGGGCAGGCCUGAUGCAGCCAUGCCGCGGGUAUGAAGAGGGCCUUCGGGUUGUAAAGUACUUUCAGCGGGGAGGCGUUACCCGCAGAGGAAGCACCGGCUAACUCCGUGCCAGCAGCCGCGGUAAUAC
rnacentral:rRNA from 1 species